UACGGAGGGGGCAAGCGUUGUUCGGAAUUACUGGGCGUAAAGGGCGCGUAGGCGGCCGCGCAAGUCAGGCGUGAAAGUCCCGGGCUCAACCCGGGGACGGCGCUUGAGACUGCGUGGCUUCGAGUCCGGGAGGGGAUGGCGGAAUUCCCAGUGUAGAGGUGAAAUUCGUAGAUAUUGGGAAGAACACCGGUGGCGAAGGCGGCCAUCUGGACCGGCACUGACGCUGAGGCGCGAAAGCGUGGGGAGCAAACAGG
rnacentral:misc_RNA from 1 species